AUCACAAAAGUAUCAUCAGUAACUAUAAUUAUAAGUGAAUAAAUACUUUUAACAUCAAUAUGCAUAGUUCGUUUUUUCAAAUAUAGAUACUUUACUGUAUAAAGUCAGCAAAAUCAUCAAAUAAAACUAUACAAGAAAACAAUGACGAGGCACUGGCGUUCAGCGGACAUGGAGCGAUGUCAUCAACGCACGCACAAAUACCAUCAUAAAAAUGCUAAACAUUCAGUAUUCGUUUUCAUAAUUCACACCGUCCGCGGGCCCUUCCAACAAACCAACGCGUUUAUUUUCUAGCAAUGGCAGCAAUGUAGCCUCAUUAGCAGUAUUUACGCACCUCUUCUACCAAUCGUCGUGGUAUAUGGAAAAAACUUAGCAAUAAUUUCAGUUUCACUUGAGUCUGCAAAUCCGGAAAACACUCCUUUAUGUUGCGCAGCACUUCCUUGUUAAGUUGUGAGCAUAUCGACCCACUUAUCCACGAAUCGUUCGAAGUGCCGAGUUUGUUAUGCAGCCACAAUGAAGUGUCGCUGUCCCGCACAUUUGCCAUAUUUUCACUUAUUUUGAUAUUUUCACUUUAACAAAACCACACUACACGUAUUUGUUGCACUUCACAAUAUGAGAUUGCUUUGCAAACCUCCUCUGCAACAAUUUCUUUAUAUUAGAUCGCGUUUAUUUUUUCCAAUCAAAAAUUUGACACGAAAUCCCGAAACGAAAAUAUAAA